rnacentral:rRNA from 1 species
GCGGACGGGUGCGUAACGCGUAAACAACCUGCCUUCAAGCGGAGGAUAACCACGGGAAACUGUGGCUAAUACUGCAUAACGUCCAGAGGCCGCAUGGCCCCUGGAUCAAAGCCUUCGGGCGCUUGAAGAUGGGUUUGCGUCGGAUUAGCUCGUUGGUGAGGUAACGGCUCACCAAGGCAACGAUCCGUAGCUGGUCUGAGAGGAUGAUCAGUCACACUGGCACUGAGACACGAGCCAGACUCCUACGGGAGGCAGCAGUGGGGAAUCUUAGGCAAUGGGGGAAACCCUGACCUAGCCAUGCCGCGUGGAGGAAGACACCCCUAUGGGGCGUAAACUCCUUUUCUGUCGGAAGAAAACCCUGUUUUUCAGGGCGUGACGGUACGACAGGAAUAAGCACCGGCUAACUCCGUGCCAGCAGCCGCGGUAAUACGGAGGGUGCAAGCGUUGUCCGGAAUCACUGGGCGUAAAGGGUGCGCAGGCGGGGCAGCAAGUCGGAGGUGAAAGCCCACGGCUUAACCGUGGAAGUGCCUUCGAAAC